rnacentral:lncRNA from 1 species
CAUAUCUAGUUUUUAAAUUUUUUAUUCUUUUUCUUUGUCAAAAUUUUAUCUUGUAUAUGUAUUGUUUUCCAAAUUUAAUUUAAUUUUUCAUGUAUAUAUUCUUAGAGUUUGCUGAACUUCCUCAACGAGAUUGUUCUGAAUGCUUUGUCAGUUAUUUCCAUUUCUUUAGGAUCCCUUAUUAGAGCUUUCUUAGUUUCUUUUGGUUGUAUCAUGAUUCCCUGAUUUUUAGUAACCCUUGUAUCCUUGAACUGAUAUCUGCUUGAAGAGACAGCCACCUCUUCUGGCUUUCAUAGCUAUUCUUUUGGCAUAGGUAGAACUUUACUAUUUAGUACAACCUGUUAUUCUGGGCGGGCCAGCUGAUACUGACCCUGAGAACAAGCAGAGUUGCUGCUGGGCUCUGUUGUCUGGCAGUACCAAUGGCUUGGCCCUGCAGUUAGGUAGAACCAUUGGCUGGGUACUGCAAUCACCUCUGAUCUGGCAGAGUUGCAGGGUAUAUUUCCUGGUUAGACAGUAUUGUUAUUUGAAUUGUGCGCACUUGAGUAGGACUGUAGGCAGAGAUCUGAGUUUAAGCAGAAUCAUUGCCCUAAAUGAGUGGACUCUGAGGUUGGGUGGAGCCAGUUCAGACAAGUCUAGCCCCUAUACUGCAUAGAUAUGCACUGUCUGCGUAGGUGGGGUCUUGAGGUGAGUUCUGAAGCUGGGCAGUCCCACUGCAGCUCCCUACGUACUCAAGCCAGCUUGAACUUUUCAAUGGGAUUCUAGGAGCAAUUUGCUCAGCUUUGUAAGUAAACUGUCAUGGAGUGGUUUCACUCAUCAGGCACCACUUCUGCUCCAGAUCUGCAUGCUGGUUGCUGUGUGCCCUCCCCUACCAUUCUUUGUUUCUACUUGACACCAGGGAAUCCUGUCCCAUUGUUCCCUAUGAGGCAGGAUUGAAGUAGGCUUCUGCAAAGCAUCUCAGAAUUCUGGGGAAGCUGGAUGUCUACUUCUGGGUCUUCUCCAGCCCAGAAACUGUGGGCCAGGAAAUCUUCUAUGGUGCUGUGCCAGGGCAGGGAGGAGUGAGGCAUUCAAAGUAGAACCGUACCUCUUAACUUUCUAGCAUAGUUUAUAUAUGGUUCUGUAAUCCACGUGGGUAUAUCAGUCUUAUUCCUGAGUUUGGGGGUUUUCACAAAAGUGUUCUCUUCUGAGGAUAGCUGCUAGGUGGACUUUGUGAGAGGAACAUAGUGAAUCCUGGGACCUAUUCUGCUAUCUUGCUUUCUGUCUAACCCUCUACACAGCUUUUAAUCUGUGUUUGACAUGUUGUAAGUGCUACCUACGUGUGUUAGCUAUUUCUGCUGCCGCUGAUACUGAUGAUGAUGAUGGAAUCUUUCCCCUACAUGAAGACAGUGUCAUCCACACAGAGAAGGACUUAAAGGGAUACCUGUGGUUGAAACCGAAAAUCCCUCAGUAACUUUUCAUACCUAAUUAGGUGCUUGAUGAUGACCCAAAGCUCCACAUCAUGGAACACUGAAAUGAUUUGACAGAUGUGACCACAGGAAGACCUUGAUCACAUUCUCAUAGAACUUGGAUCAUUCUGGCUUUCUGGUGAGAGCCAGUAUAAGUGAGCUGAAAUAUUUUCUCAGUAACUAAAGAGAAUAAAUGAUGAAAUGAUGUUAUUUGAUAAAGCAGUUGAAAUUAGAAAAAUCCUUAUCAGAGAUAGAUUGUACUUACAGAAUAGUUAACAUAAAGACAUUUUUUCCUAAUAAUAUUCUGGAUCCAAUAAGAAGCAACUGUUAAGAGCACUCUUGACAUAAACCUCAUUAGUGUAAAAAAAGGAAGAAAUAUCAAGAUAUAUUGCUGCCAGCUCACUUUUCAACUUUGAGCUUCCAAAGCUCAGCUUGUAGUUAUUAGCUCUUGUCCAAGAAACCUCAAAGCCAGGGAGGGAACAAUAACAGUUUCAAAUAAUUCUUUAUAGCCUUUUUUUGUUAUUUUAUUUUUCAUACUUUGAGACAGGAGAUCACUAUUUUGCCCAGGCUGGUCUCAAACUGGUGGGCUCAAGUGAUCCUCCCUCCUCAGUGCUGCAUGGCUGUAGUGUGCAUCACUGCAGUGGAUCAGCUGCACACUUCUCCUAUAAAAUCAUAAUGGUGAGACCCAGAGCUAUAGUGUAUGAGAAAGGAGCUGCAGUUGGUUGGCAAGGUAAUAACUUGGUAUAUGCAAAACAUAGUUACCAUUUUGAGAUGUGUAGAAAUAAACAUGUAUACUUAAUGGAUUAUAGUCCAAAGAAGUAUUCUAUGGGAAAUGAAAGCUGAAAGGGUUGACCAAGGUAAGAAC